rnacentral:rRNA from 1 species
AUCCUUGAAAGAGUGCGUAAUAGCUCACUGGUCGAGUGGUUCUGCGCCGACAAUGUAGUGGGGCUCAAGUACACCGCCGAAGCCGCGGCAGUCAACAAUGUGUUUUGUUGGUUGGGUAGGGGAGCGUCGUGCACUGCUGUGAAGCACCUGGGUGACUUGAUGGUGUGGAGUGUGUGCGAGUGAGAAUGCAGGCAUGAGUAA